rnacentral:tRNA from 1 species
AAUGAAGUGCCUGAUUAAAGGAUUACUAUGAUAGAGUAAAUAAUGUAAACAAUUUACCUUUAUUA